rnacentral:rRNA from 1 species
UGCAAGUCGAGCGGACAGAAGGGAGCUUGCUCCCGGAUGUUAGCGGCGGACGGGUGAGUAACACGUGGGUAACCUGCCUGUAAGACUGGGAUAACUCCGGGAAACCGGAGCUAAUACCGGAUAGUUCCUUGAACCGCAUGGUUCAAGGAUGAAAGACGGUUUCGGCUGUCACUUACAGAUGGACCCGCGGCGCAUUAGCUAGUUGGUGGGGUAAUGGCUCACCAAGGCGACGAUGCGUAGCCGACCUGAGAGGGUGAUCGGCCACACUGGGACUGAGACACGGCCCAGACUCCUACGGGAGGCAGCAGUAGGGAAUCUUCCGCAAUGGACGAAAGUCUGACGGAGCAACGCCGCGUGAGUGAUGAAGGUUUUCGGAUCGUAAAGCUCUGUUGUUAGGGAAGAACAAGUGCGAGAGUAACUGCUCGCACCUUGACGGUACCUAACCAGAAAGCCACGGCUAACUACGUGCCAGCAGCCGCGGUAAUACGUAGGUGGCAAGCGUUGUCCGGAAUUAUUGGGCGUAAAGGGCUCGCAGGCGGUUUCUUAAGUCUGAUGUGAAAGCCCCCGGCUCAACCGGGGAGGGUCAUUGGAAACUGGGAAACUUGAGUGCAGAAGAGGAGAGUGGAAUUCCACGUGUAGCGGUGAAAUGCGUAGAGAUGUGGAGGAACACCAGUGGCGAAGGCGACUCUCUGGUCUGUAACUGACGCUGAGGAGCGAAAGCGUGGGGAGCGAACAGGAUUAGAUACCCUGGUAGUCCACGCCGUAAACGAUGAGUGCUAAGUGUUAGGGGGUUUCCGCCCCUUAGUGCUGCAGCUAACGCAUUAAGCACUCCGCCUGGGGAGUACGGUCGCAAGACUGAAACUCAAAGGAAUUGACGGGGGCCCGCACAAGCGGUGGAGCAUGUGGUUUAAUUCGAAGCAACGCGAAGAACCUUACCAGGUCUUGACAUCCUCUGACAACCCUAGAGAUAGGGCUUUCCCUUCGGGGACAGAGUGACAGGUGGUGCAUGGUUGUCGUCAGCUCGUGUCGUGAGAUGUUGGGUUAAGUCCCGCAACGAGCGCAACCCUUGAUCUUAGUUGCCAGCAUUCAGUUGGGCACUCUAAGGUGACUGCCGGUGACAAACCGGAGGAAGGUGGGGAUGACGUCAAAUCAUCAUGCCCCUUAUGACCUGGGCU